CUACAUUCAAACUCCAUAGUUCUUUCUUUGGAUGUGGAUAGCAUUUUCCAUCAUGAGACUUUUGGAGAUGACUUAGAUCCUUGCAUUGCUGAGAAGGGCUAAAUCUAUCAAACUCACUCAUCACACAGCGUGGCUGUUACUGUGUACAACGUUCUCCUGGUUCUGCUCACUUCACUCAGCAUCAGUCCAUAAAAGUCUUUCCAGGUUUUUCUGAAGUCCACCUGCUCAUCAUUUCUUACAGCACAAUAGUAUUCCAUUACAUUCAUAUACCAAAACUUGUUCAGUCAUUCCCCAAUUGAUGGGCAUCCCCUCAAUUUGCAGUUCUUUGCCACCACAAAAAGAGCUGCCAUAAAUAUUUUUGUACAUUUUCCCAUUUUUAUGAUCUCUUUGGGACACAGCCCUAGAAGUGCUAUUGCUGGGUCAAAGGGUAUGCACAUUUUUAUAGCCUUUUGGGCAUAGUUCCAAAUUGCUGUCCAAAAUGAUUGGAUCAUUUCACAACUCCACCAACAAUGCAUUAAUGUUUCAUGGCCUUUUCUUCAGGAGGGAGUGUAGCAGAAGCUUAAUGAAUGAUGAGCUACAUAAAGUUCUGAAAAAUUUUUAGUAUGACUGUUCAGAAAACAUUAAUGAAAAUUUCAAGACGUACUUCUCCCCAUAACAUUCCCAUAAUGAAGCCUUUUUGAUGGGAGAUGUACGUAGAUGCCAGUGGUUUUAGGUGAGUGAAUGAUAGAC
rnacentral:lncRNA from 1 species